rnacentral:rRNA from 1 species
UACGAAGGGGGCUAGCGUUGCUCGGAAUCACUGGGCGUAAAGCGCACGUAGGCGGCUAUCUAAGUCAGGGGUGAAAUCCUGGAGCUCAACUCCAGAACUGCCUUUGAUACUGGGAAGCUUGAGUCCGGAAGAGGUGAGUGGAACUGCGAGUGUAGAGGUGAAAUUCGUAGAUAUUCGCAAGAACACCAGUGGCGAAGGCGGCUCACUGGUCCGGUACUGACGCUGAGGUGCGAAAGCGUGGGGAGCAAACAGG